rnacentral:rRNA from 1 species
UACGUAGGGUGCAAGCGUUAAUCGGAAUUACUGGCGUAAAGCGUGCGCAGGCGGUGAUGUAAGACAGGUGUGAAAUCCCCGGGCUUAACCUGGGAACUGCAUUUGUGACUGCAUCGCUGGAGUGCGGCAGAGGGGGAUGGAAUUCCGCGUGUAGCAGUGAAAUGCGUAGAUAUGCGGAGGAACACCGAUGGCGAAGGCAAUCCCCUGGGCCUGCACUGACCGCUCAUGCACGAAAGCGUGGGA